rnacentral:rRNA from 1 species
UACGUAGGGUGCGAGCGUUGUCCGGAAUUAUUGGGCGUAAAGAGCUCGUAGGCGGUUUGUCGCGUCGACUGUGAAAACCCGAGGCUUAACCUCGGGCCUGCAGUCGAUACGGGCAGACUAGAGUUCGGUAGGGGAGACUGGAAUUCCUGGUGUAGCGGUGAAAUGCGCAGAUAUCGGGAGGAACACCGGUGGCGAAGGCGGUUCUCUGGGCCUUACCUGACGCUGAGGAGCGAAAGCGUGGGGAGCGAACAGG